rnacentral:rRNA from 1 species
UACAGGAGGUGCGAGCGUUAAUCGGAAUUACUGGGCGUAAAGCGCGCGUAGGCGGCUUUGCAAGUCGGGUGUGAAAUCCCCAGGCUUAACCUGGGAACUGCAUUCGAGACUGCAUUGCUAGAGUAUGGGAGAGGGAAGUGGAAUUUCAGGUGUAGCGGUGAAAUGCGUAGAUAUCUGAAGGAACAUCAGUGGCGAAAGCGACUUCCUGGACCAAUACUGACGCUCAUGUGCGAAAGCGUGGGGAGCAAACAGG